GCUCGGCUCCAUGCUCGUCUAGCAAUUGAAGGCUGGGCGAACUCGAGUCGUAGGGCUGCACCUGAGACACAUCUCGGGACGCCGGAAAGAGAUCUCAGAAACAUAUGAAGUGGACGAUCCAGGUUACCUGAUAUUGCUGUAGUCCAUACUUCACAUCCAUAUAAUAAUUUAGGGACGACUUUGGCAUUAAAUAUUUGAAUUGCUGCUGGAAGGUGUUUGCCGCCCUUCUGGUGGUAAAAUCGGACAAUGGCGUUAGAGGUCGUGGUUGCAGCGAGAAAGGCAGAUUGUAGAUGGGUGGUCCAGGAGAGAUUAUAGGUGAAUAUUAAUCCUAAAUAUUUAAAGGCUUUUACCUUUUCUAAGUAGCCACCUGUGAUCUUAAGCGGCUCCAACUUGAGUUUGCGGGAACGAGUGAAGUGGAGGACUUUCGAUUUUUAUAAUUAAUAUUAAGAGCUUCCGCCUUACAAUAGGCGAUAAAUGCAUUAACUGCAUUUGCUAGAUCCGCAGCUGUUCUGGAUAAGAUGACGGCAUCAUCAGCAUAGAAAAGGGAAGCAACGGGGUGGCCUGCUAAGUGAGGAGGAUACUUAGAUGCUAGCUUCAAAGUGGAAAUUGCAUCAUGAAGAUAGAGAUUAAACAGUAAAGGGGCCAAGAGGCAACCUUGUCGGACGCCCUUGGCCGUUGGAAAUGGAGUAGUGGGGGAGCCGUUUGGACUAGUUCGGACGCGAGCUGUGGUGUUUGAAUAAAGGGAGAUAAUUAGGGAGAGAAGGUGCGGAUCAAUUCCCAGAUGGGCAAGUUUGGACCAUAAUCUCUGCCUAGGAAUGGAAUCAAAGGCGGCCUCCAGGUCCAUGAAAGCGGCAAAUAGGUGGCCUUGCCUUGGAGCAGUGUAUUUACUGGCAAGGUGAAAGAGAGUUAGACAAUGGUCCAUGGUUGACGCUGACUUUCGGAAACCAAUCUGUUCUAGCGGUAGAAUGUUCCUCUCCUGGACCCAUGAGAGAAGUUCCUCCAGUAAAACAGCGGCAAAUAUUUUCCCCGGGAUGGAUAAUAAGCUGAUGGGGCGAUAGUUCCUAGGGAUGUUUGGCUGGCCGCCUUUGAAGAUCGGAACUAUUAUAGCUUCUCUCCAGGAGUCGGGGAUGUCUAGGGCGGAGGAGAUAGCGGUGAAUACAGGAGUCAGGUGUUCGCUCCACCAAAGAGGAUCAGUCAGGAAAAGGUCCAACGGGACCAUGUCUGGGCCGGGGGCCUUAUUCCUUUGCAUUGACAUUAUGAUGUUGAAAAUGCGAGUUGAAGUAAAGUUUAUUGAAGAAGUGGGACUAAGAGAGCAGGAACUGAGGUCCAAUGGGGAUUGAAGGAGAUCUGUAAGAUGGUUUGGAGAAGCGAAACUAGUUGAAUAAUAAGCAAUCCAUUCAUCCGCGGAAAUCUGGGUAGCUGGAUU